rnacentral:rRNA from 1 species
AUUGAACGCUGGCGGCAGGCUUAACACAUGCAAGUCGAGCGAGCGGCGGACGGGUGAGUAAUGUCUGGGAAACUGCCUGAUGGAGUGGGAUAACUACUGGAAACGGUAGCUAAUACCGCAUACCAUCAGAUGUGCCCCGAUGGGAUUAGCUAGUAGGUGGGGUAAUGGCUCACCUGGGCGACGAUCCCUAGCUGGUCUGAGAGGAUGACCAGCAAGACUGGAACUGAGACACGGUCCAGACUCCUACGGGAGGCAGCAGGGGGGAAGAUGGCACAAUGGGCGCAAGCCUGAUGCAGCCAGGCCGCGUGGAUGAAGAAGGCCUUCGGGUUGUAAAGUACUUGCAGCGGGGAGGCGUUACCCGCAGAAGAAGCACCGGCUAACUCCGUGCCAGCAGCCGCGGUAAUAC